UACGUAGGUGGCAAGCGUUGUCCGGAUUUACUGGGCGUAAAGGGUGUGUAGGCGGAAUUUUAAGUAGAAAGUGAAAGGUUGGAGCUCAACUCCAACACUGCUUCCUAUACUGGAAUUCUUGAGUCCCGGAGAGGAAGAUGGAACGACACGUGUAGCGGUGAAAUGCGUUGAUAUGUGUCGGAACACCAAUGGCGAAGGCAGUCUUCUGGACGGGUACUGACGCU
rnacentral:rRNA from 1 species